rnacentral:rRNA from 1 species
GUGGGGAAUUUUGGACAAUGGGGGAAACCCUGAUCCAGCGACGCCGCGUGAAGGAUGAAGGCCUUCGGGUUGUAAACUUCUUUUGGAGGGGACGAAUAAAUUGACGGUACCCUCAGAAAAAGCCACGGCUAACUACGUGCCAGCAGCCGCGGUAAUACGUAGGUGGCGAGCGUUACUCGGAAUUACUAGGCGUAAAGCGUAUGUAGGUGGUUAGAUAAGUCUAUGGUGAAAUUUCCUGGCUUAACUGGGAAGGGACAUAGAUACUAUCUGGCUUGAGUGUGGGAGGGGGAGACGGAAUUCCUGGUGUAGCGGUGAAAUGCGUAGAUAUCAGGAGGAACACCGAUGGCGAAAGCAGUCUCCUGGCCCAAUACUGACACUGAGGUACGAAAGCUAGGGUAGCAAACAGGAUUAGAUACCCCAGUAGUCC